CAGGACCCCCAAAUCCUGCUGCAGCAGAUCCAGGUGGCUGCUGAGACCCUGCACCCCGAAAAGAACCCCGAAGAGGACGCGGGCGCCCGCCAGGCCAGCGAGGCGGCCGCCCUGGAGGAGACCCUGGCGCGGCUGGAGGCCCAAAUCGAGGGCUGCCGUGGGGAGGCGCGGGACGCCCAGCUCAGCCUCACCCAGGUGGAGGCAGAGGUGCGGCAGGGGGGGGG
rnacentral:lncRNA from 1 species